UGGGGAAUAUUGCACAAUGGGCGCAAGCCUGAUGCAGCCAUGCCGCGUGUAUGAAGAAGGCCUUCGGGUUGUAAAGUACUUUCAGCGGGGAGGAAGGGAGUAAAGUUAAUACCUUUGCUCAUUGACGUUACCCGCAGAAGAAGCACCGGCUAACUCCGUGCCAGCAGCCGCGGUAAUACGGAGGGUGCAAGCGUUAAUCGGAAUUACUGGGCGUAAAGCGCACGCAGGCGGUUGAUUGAGUCAGAUGUGAAAUCCCCGGGCUUAACCCGGGAACUGCAUCUGAUACUGGUCAGCUAGAGUCUUGUAGAGGGGGGUAGAAUUCCAUGUGUAGCGGUGAAAUGCGUAGAGAUGUGGAGGAAUACCGGUGGCGAAGGCGGCCCCCUGGACAAAGACUGACGCUCAGGUGCGAAAGCGUGGGGAGCAAACAGG
rnacentral:rRNA from 1 species